CGCUCCCACAGCUGUCACAAUGACCUUCAUAAAUGCCUUAAAGCAAUGCAAAGUAUUAAGGAACAGUUGGUUCCUUGGUCUAGUAGUGCAUCAGUGUUUCUAUUUAAGAGUAAAACUGUUAUUGUUUUAAUAUAUAUGAUGAUGCUUCAUUGUGUGACACUGUUAACACCUUGUGUUGUUGAAAACGUAAAAUGUUGAGCUACCCCUGUCACUGUAACAUGAUUGCAGAAUAAUAUGUUGGACCUGUUGGACCCCCGGACAGCUGUGUGCGGAGCGAGAGCGUCUUUGGUGAUUACCUCUGUGUGCCCACUGAGGCGGGUCCGUUAGGGAUCCUACAUCAUGGAAUGGGGCUUGAGUGAAGAAGUGUUGGGAUUUGGUUCCUGGAUCACACACACUUUUGAGUAAGGUCAAAAUAGAUCUUGGCCGCGGUGGAUGCAAUAGGAUCAUGGGAAAGUACACUGAGGGAUCACGUGAGAAACAAAGGAAUCCAGGUAACGGUGGGAUGUCUCAGCGUGGGCAUGGAAACCAUGUCCAGUUGACACGGUUACGGUGGCAUCUCCCCCAUUCAUCUACACCUGUAAAGGGCCCAGGAUUCAGACCCAGCAAGAGACUCUGUUUGGAAGAGGAAGACUUAUCUGCAGAGUUUCAAUCUGAUCCGCUUGACUGAUCGUAUAACCCUGGGGAUUCUGUUACAGAGGAAUCCGAAAUAUGGUUUGGUCCUACGUACGGUGACCGAAAGUCAGACGCGCUGCUUGUGAACAGGCAAGGCUGGUUACUGCUUGGGAGGCUGGUUACUGCUUGGGGGGGCUGGUUACUGCUUGGGGCACCCGCCAGGCAGGCAGACAUAACUUCCUCAAAAAAUGUCAAAAUGUGGCAACCGCAACUCCCCCUCCCCUUUUUAUGAUUGAUUCCCACAGCGCCCUCAAAGUUUGCAUUGAAAAUGAAAAGGUGUUAUCCAUCUGGAAGUGACAAAAGAAAGCAAAAAACGGCAACAUGUGCCAUGACUGCUAAAAGUCUUUCACAAUAUGUACCCUGUUUUUUUUGCAAAUCUAAACAUUUUAAAUAAAAUAAUUUAUAUAAUUUGA